AGAGUUUGAUCCUGGCUCAGGAUGAACGCUGGCGGCGUGCUUAACACAUGCAAGUCGAGCGAAGCACUUUGGAAAGAUUCUUCGGAUGAUUUCCUUUGUGACUGAGCGGCGGACGGGUGAGUAACGCGUGGGUAACCUGCCUCAUACAGGGGGAUAACAGUUAGAAAUGACUGCUAAUACCGCAUAAGACCACGGUACCGCAUGGUACAGUGGUAAAAACUCCGGUGGUAUGAGAUGGACCCGCGUCUGAUUAGGUAGUUGGUGGGGUAACGGCCUACCAAGCCGACGAUCAGUAGCCGGUCUGAGAGGAUGAACGGCCACAUUGGAACUGAGACACGGUCCAAACUCCUACGGGAGGCAGCAGUGGGGAAUAUUGCACAAUGGGGGAAACCCUGAUGCAGCAACGCCGCGUGAGUGAAGAAGUAUUUCGGUAUGUAAAGCUCUAUCAGCAGGGAAGAUAAUGACGGUACCUGACUAAGAAGCCCCGGCUAACUACGUGCCAGCAGCCGCGGUAAUACGUAGGGGGCAAGCGUUAUCCGGAUUUACUGGGUGUAAAGGGAGCGUAGACGGCAAGGCAAGUCUGAUGUGAAAACCCAGGGCUUAACCCCUGGGGACUGCAUUGGAAACUGUCUGGCUCGAGUGCCGGAGAGGUAAGCGGAAUUCCUAGUGUAGCGGUGAAAUGCGUAGAUAUUAGGAAGAACACCAGUGGCGAAGGCGGCUUACUGGACGGUAACUGACGUUGAGGCUCGAAAGCGUGGGGAGCAAACAGGAUUAGAUACCCUGGUAGUCCACGCCGUAAACGAU
rnacentral:rRNA from 1 species